GACUGAGUGUGGUGCAGUGGUUUGAGCGCUGGACUACAACUGGAAACCAGGGUUCGAAUCCCCACUCAGCCA